CUAACACAUGCAAGUCGCACGAGAGAGCUGACUUCGGUUGGUGAGUAAAGUGGCGAACGGGUGAGUAACGCGUGGGUAAUCUGCCCAUUGGUUGGGGGAUAGCGUGCCGAAAGGUGAGCUAAUACCGCAUAAGCUCUACGGAGGAAAGCCUUCGGGCGCCGAUGGAGGAGCCCGCGUCCGAUUAGCUGGUUGGUAGGGUAAGAGCCUACCAAGGCGACGAUUGGUAGCCGGUCUGAGAGGACGGACGGCCACACUGGGACUGAGACACGGCCCAGACUCCUACGGGAGGCAGCAGUGGGGAAUUUUGGGCAAUGGGCGCAAGCCUGACCCAGCAACGCCGCGUGGAGGAUGAAGGUUUUCGGAUCGUAAACUCCUGUCCAGAGGGACGAAGCAAGUGACGGUACCUCUGGAGGAAGCCCCGGCUAACUCCGUGCCAGCAGCCGCGGUAAUACGGGGGGGGGCCAGCGUUGUUCGGAAUUACUGGGCGUAAAGGGCGCGUAGGCGGCUUCGGAAGUCAUGGGUGAAAGACCC
rnacentral:rRNA from 1 species